GGGAGAACACUUUGUAAUGGAAAUCACAAAUUUACAUAUCCAAUUCCAAUGCAAUUGAUGCCACAUGUGCUAUGCAAUAAGGGGGAUGAAUUAUGCAAACAAAUCACUCCAUACUUUCUAUAAUUCCACAUAAUCUCUCCCUCAAAUAACAGAUAGUGUACUAGACGACUAUAGGAUCAUAUUAGAUAUAGGGAUUAAUUAUGCAAACAAAUCACACAAUAUGUUUUAUAAUUCCACACAAUCACUCCCUCGAAUAAGAGGUUGUAAAAUAGAAGAAUGUGAAACUGUAUUGGAUGCUAGAAGACUAAGAGAUUGCAUGCCAUAACAUUAUCUCCCUUUAGUACAAGGAGAUUACAGAGAUUGCAUGCAAUAACAUUAUCUCCCUUUGGUACAAAGAGAUUACAGAGAUUGCAUGCAAUAACAUUAUCUUGCAUGCAAUAACAUUAUCUCCCUUUGGUACAAGGAGAUUACAAAGAUUGCAUGCAAUAACAUUAUCUCCCUUUGGUACAAGGAGAUUACAAUUCUGCCAAGUGCGAGAAAAAAUAAUCACAGUCGACAGUUUUUUCUACACAACUGGAGGGAGAACACUUUGUAAUGGAAAUCACAAAUUUACAUAUCCAAUUCCAAUGCAAUUGAUGCCACAUGUGCUAUGCAAUCAGGGGGAUGAAUUAUGCAAACAAAUCACUCCAUACUUUCUAUAAUUCCACAUAAUCUCUCCCUCAAAUAACAGAUAGUGUACUAGACGACUAUAGGAUCAUAUUAGAUAUAGGGAUUAAUUAUGCAAACAAAUCACACAAUAUGUUUUAUAAUUCCACACAAUCACUCCCUCGAAUAAGAGGUUGUAAAAUUGAAGAAUGUGAAACUGUAUUGGAUGCUAGAAGACUAAGAGAUUGCAUGCCAAAACAUUAUCUCCCUUUAGUAAAAGGAGAUUACAGAGAUUGCAUGCAAUAACAUUAUCUCCCUUUGGUACAAAGAGAUUACAGAGAUUGCAUGCAAUAACAUUAUCUUGCAUGCAAUAACAUUAUCUCCCUUUGGUACAAGGAGAUUACAAAGAUUGCAUGCAAUAACAUUAUCUCCCUUUGGUACAAGGAGAUUACAAUUCUGCCAAGUGCGAGAAAAAAUAAUCACAGUCGACAGUUUUUUCUACACAAAUAACACGGAUUGAUAAACUUUCACAUAUUGAUAAACACCAUAAUAAAAUAGUAGCAGGAUUAAAAAGGACCAAAAGAUUAUAACUCUUUUCCACAAGUGAAUAAAGAAAAAGAAAAAAGGAUUCCAAACACCCAAUCCCACCCGAGUCACCCACAGGGAUAAGACAGGAGACUACAUCACCAUGCAGGCAAUAUCUAGAACCUCUUGCAGCAUAUUUGCAGCUUUAAUGAGUCAAUUCCACCAUUAACUGCUCAGAUAUGAAAAUUCAGUGUCUUGUUUCAGCCAACAAAUAAAUACCUAGACCCAGACUCAAUGGAAACCUGCUUCCUCAAUAUAAUUCUACACUACACUCAUUACUGAAUGAGUUUCCUGACUCAGUCUCGGAUCAUAGUGAGUCCCUGACUCAGUUUUUUCUUUCUUUUGAUUAUUAUUUGUUGGGUCAAUCCCAACAAAUAACAAUCAAAAGAAAGAAAAAACUCACAUUAAUACAAAGAAUUAUGUUAAUACAUGGCCCAACAAAUAAUAAUCAAAAGAAAGAAAAAAACUCACAUUAAUACAAAGAUUUAUGUUAAUACAGACAGUAAAACUCACAUUAAUACAAAGAAUUAUGUUAAUACAGAGAGUCCGGUUAAAAACUGUCUCCCAUUCCAUUACAGGCCUGUCUCAAGAGAUCAUUUUUACCGUGUCUCAAGAGAUCAUUUUUACCGUAUUGCCCUCUCCAACAUCAACCCUCUCUCUUCUAAUACGAUAAAAUCAUGAUUCUUGCAAUCCUUUAAACCAAACUCUACCAACCCAAACACAACACCACCACCACCCCCCACCCCACCCCCCCCCAACCCCAAGGGGGCAGAAAUAAUAGCAGCCUAUCUUUAAGAGCUCAACCAACAAAUCCUACACAAAAACAUGCAUCCAUCCAUGUGGAUGCAUGAAGGAGCAUUAAAGAUUGGAUACCCAAAAAUGUGGCAUCAAAUAUACAGUCACACACUUUCUUUUCUAUUGGAAACCGUAAACUGUUAACAUGCAAAUUCAUUUAUAAAUUGCUUGCUUCCAUAUACAAAAAAUUUUCAAUAAAGAAUGACAUACAUAAUAUAGACACAAAUACACUUAUUUCUGCAGAAAAGAAAUGCUUACUUCCAUAUAAAACAAUUUCUCAAUAAAGAAUGACAUACAUAAUAAACACAAAUUCACUUAUUUCUGCAAAAAAGAAAUGCAACUCUUUCGAAUGCGGGAACAAAGUCAGCAUAUGCACACAUCCGAAUUCUUUGGACACGAUACCACACUCGUUUAUGUGCACCUUCAUGUUCAUGUAGUUUUGUUC
rnacentral:lncRNA from 1 species